rnacentral:tRNA from 1 species
GUCUCCAUGGUCUAGUGGUUAUGACGUCGGUCUCAUACUACGUAUGAUCAAUUGUAAACAAUUGAGUAAUCCGGAAAGCUGAGUUCGAUUCUCAGUGGGGACA